rnacentral:tRNA from 1 species
GGUGGCUCAGUGGUAGAGCGCUGGCUUUUUAUGCCUGAGGCCCUGAGUUCGAUUCCUCAGCACCA